CUUAUUUUGGACCUGGAACGGUUGAUACUAUCAAAUGCCAUCUAAAUGCUGCUGAAACGAAGGGUGAAGUGGAUGCUGUUUUUGUUAAUGCAACACUGUCUGGUAUUCAGCUUCGAAAUAUGGAGAGGGCUUGGAGUAAACCUGUGGUGGACCGUGUUGGUCUUAUAAUUGAGAUUUUCAAUGCUCAUGCAUACACUAAGGAAGAUAGGCUCCAG